rnacentral:rRNA from 1 species
GACGUAGGGCGCGAGCGUUGUCCGGAUUUAUUGGGCGUAAAGAGCUCGUAGGCGGCUUGUCGCGUCGGAUGUGAAAGCCCCGGGGCUUAACUCCGGGUCUGCAUUCGAUACGGGCAGGCUAGAGUGUGGUAGGGGAGAUCGGAAUUCCUGGUGUAGCGGUGAAAUGCGCAGAUAUCAGGAGGAACACCGGUGGCGAAGGCGGGUCUCUGGGCCGAUACUGACGCUGAGGAGCGAAAGCGUGGGGAGCGAACAGG